rnacentral:lncRNA from 1 species
CCCUUCCCGGCUCUGCGCCUGGUCCAGGCCUUCCCUGGCCAGCGUGACCUACUUUCCUGGCUGAGUGACACUGAGGGGAAAAUGGUCGGUGACGGGCAGCCCUGCUCUGCGUGCAGCCAGCGGGGAGGGUGACCAGUGCCCUCGCAGCCAGGUCGCUUGGGCAGCCGGAGACGUCAUCUGAGUGACUCAGUGUUUGUCCUCUGCACACUGCACUGACCAGCCUGACGGGAACACCGGCCACGUGAUGUGGGCCCCUGGGCGGCUGUGCUGUGGGGAUGCCAGGACCUGCUGCUGCGAUGCAGCUGACGUGCAGGGUGGACGCUCUUCUGUCCCAGAUCCCGUUUCCUGAGGCUUUGUGCUUUGGCAGAGGCCAGGAGGCACCUUGGCUGGGGGAGACCCCAGGACCAGGGUGACAUCUGAGACCCCGCCAGUGCCCCCGGGCAGGUCUGCGGAGCAAUGCUGGCCUGGCCUUGGCUGUGCUCUGCCAGAGGGGCCAGCGCUGUUCUACACUCGGAGAGCCAUGGGAGCUGGGUCUCGAGAGCGCCCUGAGUCUGUGCGCCCUACACUAGCCUGGCCCACCCCAUGGGCCCUGGUGGGCCAGGGAAAUGACACACCCAUCCUCAUGCUAAGCGAGGGGUCCUCGACCCUUCCCUGCACUCCAGGGAAGCAAUUGCGGCUCCUAGGAGGAACCACAUGUCUUGGAAAACACCACAGCAAAGCCAAGAACUGUGAAGAAAGAAGACAGCAGAGGAAAGUCUAGGCCUCUCCUGUCCAGAUACUCAGCGUGGGGACACCAGGCCCACGGACGUCACCUCUUGGCUCAGCCCGGGGUGACCAACCAGAGCCCAGGGUCCCCGGUGAUUUGGAGCAGGAGGACAACUCCAAGCCGGGAGCCACGGGAGCACAGCCACGCCCAGAGGCCCCUCCGUGCCUGCGGGAAACAACCAGCAGCAAACACCGGGCUCACAGGCGCCAGUGGGACUCAGUGAGGCGCAGCGUUUCCUCUGACGGCACGCCGCGGCCAGGAACAACGGAUUUCGUUCUUAGUCUGGUGGAGUUCGCGGGUAAAAGCAAUGCCUACACUGUAGCCAGCAGAGAAUGUUCUGGUUUGUCCCGAAGACACACACACUCUCUCUCUCUCUCUCCAGCUCUGGCUCGCUCGGCCUGUGCUCACCCUGAUGCUCAGGCUGUGUGGCCUGGCCUGGCCUGGCCUGGCCGGCGUCUCCCAGGCUAAGGCCCAGACAGGCAGGGAGGCAGAGGCUUCCCUGGAGGGAUGACAGGGACUUCAGGCCGCCGGGCCCCGUCACAGCCAGGCCGCCCCACGAUGGGGACAUCACCCUCCUGGGGCGCCGCUUUCCCACGCCGAGGCUCUGGAUGCCAGAGCCCAGUCCUCAGCCAUCCCGGGGAUCAGUGGUGACUAGGGCUAGGGGCCACUGUGCUCACCAGGCUGCAGGCCAGGUCCCUGCCAGACGUCCCGAGCAGGCUCUGGGUCCCGCCCGAGCCACCUGGCCGCUGCGGC